GCUUUUGCUUGGAUUUCACACCUUUGACCACUUGCAAGAUUCCUUGCAGCGCUAAAGGGGUGCGUCACAGGACACAACGUGAAGGGGCACCAAUAUGGCAGAUAUAUGCUGUGUGUCAUGACACUUUAUGGAACAAAAUGAAGCUGAGAGUUAAAGGACAUUGUCAUGGAGUUAACAGAGUGAUCGCUCUUGAGUGACUUGAAGGCUUGACAAAGCUACAAAGUAAAGUGGCAAAAGAGAGAACCCUGGAGCUCCUGAACAGGAUCUAAGAGUUCAUCUCAAGAUUUGAAAUCAGAAGGCAACAUUGCUACUAUUGCAGCUCCUGGCCAUCUCCUGGUGCCUGCUUGGGUCUUGCAGUGAAAAUGAGGGCCUGAGUGUUGAGAUGUUGGCUGCCACCUUGCUAGAAUUGACUUGCUGUGAUCUGAGUCUACUAAUCUUAGGUGUGUAAAUCACUAUGGACUUCAAAAAGAAAGUGAAGGAAGAUAAUGUCGGAAAGGAUGCACUGACAUAACCAGGGGAACAGCAACAUUAUUUAUAGUCUCCAGAACUGUCUUAUGAAGCUCACUUGCUACAUACCAGAUAAUAUGGCAGAACCAACCUGUCACCUUACUGUUCCAUAAAGAAGAUUUGUCUAUAAUAGGAAGCAUUAAAACUGAGUAACAAGAAACUACUUGAGAAACUAAUGAAUUCAAUUUUGUUCUAAAUAUACCCUUAUUGGAAGGUAACAGAAUUCUGCUAUACAGUAUGACUUGUUUUGUACCUCAAACUGAAUGCAUCUGUUAAUAAGGAAUGUGAGAAGUUCAGCCUUCUUGGAAUAUUUUACUGGACUUGCAUGUUGUGAAUAAAUGUUCUUACCUGGUGCAAAGCUUUAAGCAAUACAUAAUAAAAUGAG